UAUUUUUCAUUGUACUGCUAGUAACAUAUUGUCGUAAAUAAUAAUUACUCAUCUGAAAUGGUGGUGGACACACCCUAUAUUUCGCAGGUGCGCAUGACAUUCUGUUAAUGUAGGUAUGUUGUUUUUUUCUUCGUAAUUUAAACCAUUCGGAUUGUGUAAAUGUAUAAAAAGUAAAAAAAAACUACCACGACAAGAUUCGAAGUAAAUGAAAACACUUACCUACGUAAUUUUCGCUUGAGAUUUGAUAUUCCAUAUAGUAGUAUAAUAAAUUGGUAAAACAUAAAAUCUAUAAUAUUCACGCAUGUUAAGAAAUUGUUGUAAGCGACAAGUUGGGAAGUUAUAUAAGCUAGUUAUUCACUCAUAACUAGCUAUAUUUAAUUUUUAUAGUGAAAGCUACAAAUACUCAUUGCAAUCAAGAAUAAAUUCCGAGGGGAACUCGGUAGGCUGAGAAGGUUAUAAUAUAGUACAUUUUUUCUCUCAACAUCCAAGGUAUCCCAGAAAUUCGCAAAAAUGUAACCGACGCGCCGCGUAUCGUUAUAUUUUGACAUCAGUUUUAGGUUUCAAAAUAAAAGUAAAGGUUCUAAAUACAACUAUAAAUAACGAGAACUUUGCACGUUUGCAAAUUAUGUUUAGGCGACUUUGGUAAUGAAAACAAUUUUUCAAAUAAAUUAUCAUCAGUAGGAAAAUCCGCGUUUGUUAAGCUAAGUACGGUAUACAAAAAAAAAAAAAUCUAAGCGUUUAUAAUACAACUAAAAAAUGCGUUUUCCUAAAGGAAAAAACCACAUGUUGGUAAUACUAUUUGUAACGCGAUUUCUUCGCUACACUGGAAAUCUAAAAGACCAAGGGAACCACCAAUGGCUAUCGUCGGUUGUAUUGUCUAUAGAUUAACAUUCGGGUCCGUUGAGGUUUCACCGAUCCGAGAGGAAAUUUCAUUCGGUACACUGUGGCGGUCCGCACGAAGAUUGUGGAAGUCGCGGUAAUAACCGACAGCAGCGGCCGAUGCGGUGCAGUUUUCAAUGAACACUGAUUAUAAUGUACAUCCGAGAUAAUAAUCCGCAUCAAUCAUAAAUCACACUGUAAUAUGAGUGCACCUGUACAAUAUAUUAUAAUAUUUUCUUAUAUUAUACGUACUGGUCCGGGACCGGGAUAUUUCCGGAGCACGCUCACAAGUUGCACGCAGGAAAUUCGAAAGAAGAGAAACACGACAAACGUUGCCCGCUAUCGCCCGAUGCCGAUGUUGCUGCUGCUGGACCUUUCUCUUUAGGCUUAUUGCAUUUUUUUUUUUCUCUCUCUCUGCUUUACUGCCUGUAUGUAAUAAUAUUAUAAUGCAAAGAAAAACGAUC